UAACAAUCGUUAGGAAGAGCGUCGCCCUCCACGCCUUCUGAGCAGCUCCAGUUUCGUAGCGCCCUCGUGUGUCUGGAGGAAGAAACGUCCUGGAUUUGAGUUUGACAGUGGUACUAGGGCACAGGGAGAAGGAAGUCGGGUCAGGCAUUGGAACUUUUUACAGGUGCCAGGAAUGAAUGUGAGAACUCAAGAUGCUUUCUUGAUGCUUUCUUGAUUCUCAGAGGAGACUCAAUGGCGGCGCGUGAAAGGAUCCAGAAGAAACCACAAGCAGUCGAAAUCCAAGGCACCUGUCUUCUCCAAAAGUUGUUGAAGUCACUUCCAUGUCUGCAUGCCCACCAGCUAUGGUUGUGUAUAGCCAUGUGAAUUAACUAUUGGAGAAUUAUCAUCUAUUUUGACUUUGGAAACUAUUGAUACGGUCUAAGGGUUUUGGAAUGAUAUAGUCUAGGAGUCUUGGUCAGGUUUGUUGUUUCUGCCAGCCGAAGAAUUAAAAGGCAGGAAAAAUCUGAAGACCAGCAUGGAGCAGCAGAGAAAUCUUAAGCAUCGUGGACAGAAUUAGGAGUAGAAGGAAGGUGUGGGGUGACAAGCAGCUGGGGACAUCCUUCAUCCCUCA
rnacentral:lncRNA from 1 species